rnacentral:rRNA from 1 species
CCUACGGGUGGCAGCAGUGGGGAAUAUUGGACAAUGGGCGAAAGCCUGAUCCAGCCAUGCCGCGUGUGUGAAGAAGGCCUUCGGGUUGUAAAGCACUUUCAGUGGGGAAGAAAGCCUUGGGGCUAAUACCCUCGAGGAAGGACAUCACCCACAGAAGAAGCACCGGCUAACUCCGUGCCAGCAGCCGCGGUAAUACGGAGGGUGCGAGCGUUAAUCGGAAUUACUGGGCGUAAAGCGCGCGUAGGCGGUCUGAUAAGCCGGUUGUGAAAGCCCCGGGCUCAACCUGGGAACGGCAUCCGGAACUGUCAGGCUGGAGUGCAGGAGAGGGAGGUAGAAUUCCCGGUGUAGCGGUGAAAUGCGUAGAGAUCGGGAGGAAUACCAGUGGCGAAGGCGGCCCUCUGGACUGACACUGACGCUGAGGUGCGAAAGCGUGGGUAGCAAACAGGAUUAGAUACCCCUGUAGUC